UACGUAGGGGGCAAGCGUUGUCCGGAUUCAUUGGGCGUAAAGAGCGUGUAGGCGGUCAGGUAGGUCGGUUGUGAAAUCUCCGGGCUUAACUCGGAACGGCCAAUCGAUACUGACGUGCUAGAGUGCAGAAAGGGCAAUCGGAAUUCUUGGUGUAGCGGUGAAAUGCGUAGAUAUCAAGAGGAACACCUGAGGCGAAGGCGGGUUGCUAGGCUGACACUGACGCUGAGUGCGCGAAAGCCAGGGGAGCAAACGGG
rnacentral:rRNA from 1 species